rnacentral:lncRNA from 7 species
UCGAUCCUUUCGCUCUCCCAUGGAUAGAUGGAUUGUCAUUUUCCCAUCACUACACACGGGAUCCGAUCUUGGCCCCUUAGUCAAUACUAAAACAAACAAUCUAAUAGUACCGUAUAUAUAAUAAUGUAGUAGGGCUGAAAUUAGUGCUGCUUCGCCUUGCACAUCUACAUUUCGGCCUCAAAACAAGAAACCAGCAGCUGCUGUAAUCAGUUAACCAUCGAUCCAAAGCAACACAUAACACAGUAAACCGGCAGCAAUAAUGUCGCUAGACUUUGACACCAAAAGAAUGCAGGCCUACCACACUAGCUAUCAGUGCAUUAUUUUGAGCCGUAUCCUGUUAGGGUUUGGCCUUUGGGCCCCUUUGUCUGGCCCUGUGUCGCCUCCUCAUCUCUUGCUUACGAGCAAAGCUAGGGAGCGCCGCCAGGAAACGACACGCGCGAGAGGUUUUGGCCCUUCGCCCACUUCUUAUAUACUCCGUAUAGAAGUAUACCGUAGUGCUACCACCAGUACGUACAUUACGAUCAUUA